UUCCUUCCGGUUGAUGUAACAACCUCAUCAACCGGAAGGGAUUCCCGGUUGAUGAGGUGUAACAACCUCAUCAACCGGAAGGGGAUUCCUUCCGGUUGAUGAGGUGUAACAGCCCAUCGACCGGAAGGAA
rnacentral:miRNA from 1 species